GUACACUCCUUCGGGAGGCAGCAGUGGGGAAUAUUGGACAAUGGGCGCAAGCCUGAUCCAGCCAUGCCGCGUGAGUGAUGAAGGCCCUAGGGUUGUAAAGCUCUUUCACCGGUGAAGAUAAUGACGGUAACCGGAGAAGAAGCCCCGGCUAACUUCGUGCCAGCAGCCGCGGUAAUACGAAGGGGGCUAGCGUUGUUCGGAUUUACUGGGCGUAAAGCGCACGUAGGCGGACUAUUAAGUCAGGGGUGAAAUCCCGGGGCUCAACCCCGGAACUGCCUUUGAUACUGGUAGUCUUGAGUUCGAGAGAGGUGAGUGGAAUUCCGAGUGUAGAGGUGAAAUUCGUAGAUAUUCGGAGGAACACCAGUGGCGAAGGCGGCUCACUGGCUCGAUACUGACGCUGAGGUGCGAAAGCGUGGGGAGCAAACAGGAUUAGAAACCCUUGUAGUCCCAUGA
rnacentral:rRNA from 1 species